AUUGAACGCUGGCGGCAGGCCUAACACAUGCAAGUCGAACGAGUGGUGGACGGGUGAGUAAUGUCUGGGAAACUGCCUGAUGGAGGGGGAUAACUACUGGAAACGGUCGCUAAUACCGCAUACUCUACGAUUUGCCCAGCUGGGAUUAGCUGGUUGGGGGGGUAACGGCUCACCAAGGCGACGAUCCCUAGCUGGUCCGAUAGGAUGUCCAGCAACACUGGAACUGGGACACGGGCCAGACUCCUACGGGAGGCAGCAGUGGGGAAUAUUGGACAAUGGGCGCAAGCCGGAUGCAGCCAUGCCGCGGGUAUGAAGAAGGCCUUCGGGUUGUAAAGUAUUUUCAGCGGGGAGGCGUUACCCGCAGAAGAAGCACCGGCUAACUCCGUGCCAGCAGCCGCGGUAAUUC
rnacentral:rRNA from 1 species